rnacentral:rRNA from 1 species
UACGGAGGGUGCGAACGUUAAUCGGAAUCACUGGGCGUAAAGCGCGCGUAGGCGGUUUGCUAAGUGGGAUGUGAAAUCCCCGGGCUUAACCUGGGAACUGCAUUCGAGACUGCAUUGCUAGAGUAUGGGAGAGGGAAGUGGAAUUUCCGGUGUAGCGGUGAAAUGCGUAGAUAUCGGAAGGAACACCAGUGGCGAAAGCGACUUCCUGGACCAAUACUGACGCUCAUGUGCGAAAGCGUGGGGAGCAAACAGG